CGCCAGCAGCCGCGGUAAGACGUAGGAUGCGAGCGUUGUUCGGAAUUAUUGGGCGUAAAGCGUGCGUAGGCGGCUUGUUAAGUCUGGUGUGAAAGCUAGGGGCUCAACCCCUGUGUUGCACUGGAAACUGGCAGGCUUGAGUGCGGUAGGGGAAGGUGGAAUUCCGAGUGUAGCGGUGAAAUGCGUAGAUAUUCGGAAGAACACCGGUGGCGAAGGCGACCUUCUGGGCCGCCACUGACGCUGAGGCACGAAAGCGUGGGGAGCAAACGGGAUUAGAUACCCCGGUAGUCCACGCUGUAAACGAUGGUCACUAGGUGUUGCGGGUAUCGACCCCCGCAGUGCCGUAGCUAACGCGUUAAGUGACCCGCCUGGGGAGUACGGUCGCAAGACUGAAACUCAAAGGAAUUGACGGGGGCCCGCACA
rnacentral:rRNA from 1 species